rnacentral:rRNA from 1 species
UACGAAGGUGGCAAGCGUUGUUCGGAUUUACUGGGCGUACAGGGAGCGUAGGCGGUUGGGUAAGCCCUUCGUGAAAUCUCCGGGCCUAACCCGGAAAGUGCGGAGGGGACUGCUCGGCUAGAGGAUGGGAGAGGAGCGCGGAAUUCCCGGUGUAGCGGUGAAAUGCGUAGAGAUCGGGAGGAAGGCCGGUGGCGAAGGCGGCGCUCUGGAACAUUUCUGACGCUGAGGCUCGAAAGCGUGGGGAGCAACAGG